rnacentral:lncRNA from 1 species
CCAAGCUGCUGCCUGGAGACUGUUACCAUAGAGAUGUCAGACUCCGGAACUGGCAAAUACACUCUGUCCCAGAGCUCACCAAUUUGAUAACAUCUUUUUGAACCUGACUUUUAGAGACUUGUGGGAGGAAGAAGCCAGAAGAGAUUGUCUAUCUUUUGUGCAUGCUGCCUCUUGACCUAUGACCACAGGCAAUGAAUUUGAAGACAGAAGGAGAAGGGUUGACACUGAUCUCUUUUGGAUUUCCCACAUGCAGGAGAAACAUUACAAUCACAUCCCCAAGCAAGUUUCCUAUAAAUCAUUGAAGGAAGCAUGAGAUUAUGAAUUUAUCUUCUCUCUAACUUUUAUGGCCUAAGAAGAAACAUUACCCGAAGUGUGUGUAAAGUCAUUGAAUUCUAGCUUGCCUUGUCCAGAGGAUAUAUUGUUUUUAUUAUUAACAUGAUGUACUAAAUUAGAUCUCUUUGAGAU